UAAAAAUGAAUUGAAUAAAAUUGAAUAUCGUCUAAAUCAGGGCUAUUCAACUGACGGCCCACGGACCAGAACCGGCCCUUUAAUAAGUUUGGACCGGCCCGUGGCCCAUUUACCCAUAAAUAUUAAUAAAUACACGAUCAAAAGCCACUACAAAGCGCAUUCACCAAUUUUCAGCAUUUUACGACACUUUGUGGCGCUUUGCGGCACGUUGAAUCCUUUACGGCACGUCAGCACUGUUUCCAAACAGCCCCACCUCACGUGAAGGCAUUGCGGGCACUUGAACAGUUGGUGGCCGGUAAUGUACCGUAUUGGUUUGCAAACCGCCAAUAAACUCGAACGAAGAAGAAGACAACAACAGAGCGCAUUCAAAGGAGAA